GACGAACGCUGGCGGCGUGCUUAACACAUGCAAGUCGAACGAUGAAGCCCAGCUUGCUGGGUGGAUUAGUGGCGAACGGGUGAGUAACACGUGAGUAACCUGCCCUGGACUCUGGGAUAACCCCGAGAAAUCGGAGCUAAUACCGGAUAGGACCUUUCCUCGCAUGAGGUUUGGUGGAAAGUUUUUCGGUUUGGGAUGGACUCGCGGCCUAGCAGCUUGUCGGUGAGGUAAUGGCUCACCAAGGCGUCGACGGGUAGCCGGCCUGAGAGGGUGACCGGCCACACUGGGACUGAGACACGGCCCAGACUCCUACGGGAGGCAGCAGUGGGGAAUAUUGCACAAUGGGCGCAAGCCUGAUGCAGCAACGCCGCGUGCGGGAUGACGGCCUUCGGGUUGUAAACCGCUUUUAGUAGGGAAGAAGCCUUCGGGUGACGGUACCUGCAGAAGAAGCACCGGCUAACUCUGUGCCAGCCGCCGCCGUAACAC
rnacentral:rRNA from 1 species